rnacentral:rRNA from 1 species
GACGAACCGUGCGAACGUUAUUCGGAAUCACUGGGCUUAAAGCGCGUGUAGGCGGGAAGGAACGUCCGUAGCUGAAAUCCCCCGGCUCAACCGGGGAACUGGCGCGGAUACGACCUUCCUGGAGGGGCGUAGGGGGACCUGGAACUUCCGGUGGAGCGGUGAAAUGCGUUGAGAUCGGAAGGAACGCCCGUGGCGAAAGCGAGGUCCUGGACGCCUACUGACGCUGAGACGCGAAAGCCAGGGGAGCGAACGGG